UGGUUUUUCAUCUUUCUCUUCAACAACUAGUUCUUCAGGUGUCUUUAUAGUCUUUGAUUCUUCAGGUGCUUCUUUAUCUGCCCGUUCUUCAGGUUUCUCUUCAGCCACCGGUUCUUGAGGUAUAUUCUCUUGUACUUCAGAUCUCUCCUCAAUUAUUGGUUCUGCAGGUUUCUCUUCAUUGUCUGGUUCUUUGGGUUUUUCUUCGACAGCCAAUUCUUCAAGAUGAUUUUCCUCAAUGUCUGGAAAGUGAGCAACAUCAUUAUUG
rnacentral:lncRNA from 1 species